GAAUUGGCCAACAUCUUUGGCACUUGGCCUGCUGCCAAAGUCGUAUACAUCAUUGGGAAAUGAAAUCAACCGAAACUUCUCAUGACGUACAUCAAAUGAUAUGAUGAAGUCACGUCCUUUUCUAAGGGUUUUCCAGUGAAUGGCCCCAUUCCAGAAUAUCGGUUCAAAUACUUCAUCAAAAUCCUGCCAACCAUCAGGUACAUCCAAUCUCCUCCACGAACUCGCUCCCAAUGUAGUCACUUCGAAGAACCUUCUUCCUUCAUUAACAUAUGUCCGCAGAACUUUGUACUUUCCUGCUGAAGGAUCGAAACCGAGUCCAACUUCAU